rnacentral:rRNA from 2 species
UAGGGAAUCUUCGGCAAUGGGGGGAACCCUGACCGAGCAACGCCGCGUGAGUGAAGAAGGUUUUCGGAUCGUAAAGCUCUGUUGUAAGAGAAGAACGGGUGUGAGAGUGGAAAGUUCACACUGUGACGGUAUCUUACCAGAAAGGGACGGCUAACUACGUGCCAGCAGCCGCGGUAAUACGUAGGUCCCGAGCGUUGUCCGGAUUUAUUGGGCGUAAAGCGAGCGCAGGCGGUUAGAUAAGUCUGAAGUUAAAGGCUGUGGCUUAACCAUAGUAUGCUUUGGAAACUGUUUAACUUGAGUGCAGAAGGGGAGAGUGGAAUUCCAUGUGUAGCGGUGAAAUGCGUAGAUAUAUGGAGGAACACCGGUGGCGAAAGCGGCUCUCUGGUCUGUAACUGACGCUGAGGCUCGAAAGCGUGGGGAGCAAACA